CAAGGUCUCCGUUGGUGAACCAGCGGAGGGAUCAUUACCGAGUUAUCCAACUCCCAACCCCUGUGAAUUAUACCUUUAAUUGUUGCUUCGGCGGGACUUCGCGCCCGCCGGGGACCCAAACCUUCUGAAUUUUUUAAUAAGUAUCUUCUGAGUGGUUAAAAAAAUGAAUCAAAACUUUCAACAACGGAUCUCUUGGUUCUGGCAUCGAUGAAGAACGCAGCGAAAUGCGAUAAGUAAUGUGAAUUGCAGAAUUCAGUGAAUCAUCGAAUCUUUGAACGCACAUUGCGCCCGUCAGUAUUCUGGCGGGCAUGCCUGUUCGAGCGUCAUUACGCCCCUCAAGUCCCCUGUGGACUUGGUGUUGGGGAUCGGCGAGGCUGGUUUUCCAGCACAGCCGUCCCUUAAAUUAAUUGGCGGUCUCGCCGUGGCCCUCCUCUGCGCAGUAGUAAAACACUCGCAACAGGAGCCCGGCGCGGUCCACUGCCGUAAAACCCCCCAACUUUUUAUAGUUGACCUCGAAUCAGGUAGGACUACCCGCUGAACUUAAGCAUA
rnacentral:rRNA from 1 species